rnacentral:rRNA from 1 species
UACGAAGGGUGCAAGCGUUAAUCGGAAUUACUGGGCGUAAAGGGUGCGUAGGCGGUUCGUUAAGUCUGUCGUGAAAUCCCCGGGCUCAACCUGGGAAUUGCAGUGGAUACUGGCAGGCUGGAGUAUGGUAGAGGAAGGUGGAAUUCCCGGUGUAGCAGUGAAAUGCGUAGAGAUCGGGAGGAACACCAGUGGCGAAGGCGGCCUUCUGGACCAAUACUGACGCUCAUGCACGAAAGCGUGGGGAGCAAAUAGG